rnacentral:rRNA from 1 species
UACGGAGGAUGCGAGCGUUAUCCGGAUUUAUUGGGUUUAAAGGGUGCGCAGGCGGGCUUGUAAGUCAGAUGUGAAAUCCUGUAGCUUAACUACAGAACUGCAUUUGAAACUAUGAGUCUAGAGUGUGGGAGAGGUAGGUGGAAUUCUUGGUGUAGGGGUAAAAUCCGUAGAGAUCAAGAGGAAUACUCAUUGCGAAGGCGACCUGCUAGAACAUAACUGACGCUGAUGCGCGAAAGCGUGGGGAGCAAACAGG